CAAUAGCGUAUAUUUAAGUUGUUGCAGUUAAAAAGCUCGUAGUUGGAUUUCUGCUGAUCGCUGUCGGUCUGCCGUCAGGUGUGUACUGGCAGUGUUUGGCAUCUAUUCGAGAUUGGGUGUCCACUUGAUUGUGUGCACUCGAUGUCGGAGCUAAUACUUUGAGAAAAUUAGAGUGUUCCACGCAGGCGCGUGCCUUGAAUACUGCAGCAUGGGAUAUUGGAAGGCCGAUUGAGCUUUCUUGUUGGUUCUCGGUUUGAUCGGAAUGAUUAAUAGGGAUAGUUGGGGGCAUUCGUAUUCAACUGUCAGAGGUGAAAUUCUUGGAUUUGUUGAGGACGGACUACUGCGAAAGCAUCUGCCAUGGAUGUUCUCAUUGA
rnacentral:rRNA from 1 species